ACCCAAACAAGCUCUUUCAGUAGUGGAGUGACCGAGCCCAAAAUAUGGCCUCCAAGGUGUUCGCAGUGCUGGCUAUCGUUCUGGCCCUCACCCAUGGGCAUCUCCCUGCUGUGAUGGGCGAGACGACGCCAUCAGAUCGUCCAAAAGUCUUACCACGUCAAGAUGCUGCUCCGGCAGCAGCUGGGAAUGGUGCAGCUGCAGCCCCUGGAUUCACUGAGGAGAAGGGAUGGUUCUUUCAGCGUCCGCUAGCAAGGCCGACCCCUCUUCCUCCUUCCUUAAAGCUGUGAAGUGACUUGAUAUCUUCCUAGAGUUUGUAUCUGCUCAUUAUAAUGAAGCAGAGUACGCAAAGCGAAUAAGUAGACCACUACUGGCUACAAAUGGUUGAGUUCCCCGCUAUGGUACCGUUAUAUGAUGUUUGCCUGGACACACGGAUGUGCUUGGGCAAAACAGUGUGCUAACUAUAUCAGAUAAUAUCAGCCUCUCGGUUCUGAACA